UUCGUCUGCAGUUUAUGAGGAUGAGCACCUCCGCAGGAGGUUCGAGCCUCGCGAAGCGAGACAACGUUGCUUUAGCAAAGGCCCGCAGGGCGCGCAUCAACGAUGCGCGUAAUCCUCUCUCGCCGACCA
rnacentral:sRNA from 1 species